AUUCCUUCUUUUAAAAAGCCAACCAACCAACCCAUCAAACAAACAAGAAAAAAACACCAAAUCCCAGGGCAGAGCUGGUGAAAAUUAAUCUAAAAUAAAGAAACAAAGUGAGAGGAUCAUGUGAUGAGCCCCCUUUCCAGUCAGAAGAUCUCUUUGUCCACUGAUCACAGAGUGUUCCCUUGGGUCUUGGGAACUGUCUACGGUCAGAGCAGGCAGGCGGUCUCACACGGCUCACAAGGGGCAGGAGAAAGACAGGUUCAGCUUAGAGCUGUGCCUUGUGCCUCUGCUGCUUUGUGCACAUGGUGAAGUCUCGCUCUUGAGGAUUAGGGACCCCAGAGUCCUGCAAUUACUCCCAGCACUUUGCUGUUUAUGUGCUCCAGAAUGACAUGAUAUCUGAUGACCGAUCUUAGGGUCCUGGCAUACCAGGGCUUAGUGCUGCUGCCGGUGCCGUAGCUUGCAAGUCCAGGGAGGCCUGACUGCUGCCCAGCCUCUCCCAGCCUGCAGCUAGCCACUGUGACUGUCUUACUGGUGUCGGUGCCGUAGCUUGCAAGUCCAGGGAGGCCUGACUGCUGCCCAGCCUCUCCCAGCCUGCAGCUAGCCACUGUGACUGUCUUACUGGUGUCAGGAAGGAAGCAAGUCUAGAUGUCCUUGGCAAGCCUUGAACCUGCACCUCAGACCUCCCACUCAAUAAGCUCAGGCUACAGCUACUCGGGUGAAAGGUUCCUGAUAGCCUAGACUGUGAGAUGUCCGGAGAACCACAGUUCUGACAGAAGGACACCCCCUGUGCACCCUCCAGACUCUAACACUUCUACACAGUGAUUGCACACUUUCUGCUGCAUCCACAGAUUUCCAAGGGCUUUAGUGUCACUGUCCCUAGAAGGGAGACGUUAUUGCCUCUGGAGAAGCAGCUCACAUUGCCUGGUGACACCGGAAAGGGCAACAAGCUGGGCUUCGAGGAGCCAGAGGGAUGCAGAUGUGAGCUCAGGCCAGCGGAUGCCACGGGGUGAGGGAGCACAAGCCAGCCUGAAAACUUGCACCUCACAGAGGAAGGGCUUAUUCAUCCACACUGCAAACACAGGCUUCAAAUGUUUGCCCCGCUGGAAUGUAAGAGUAGUGGAGGUUACAGUGAUGCUUCACACUUCUUAUCCCCAGUUAUGCUGGGACAAAUCAAAAAGAUUGGGUAAUGGUUCAGACCAGAGCAAAGAUAACAAUGACAGUCCCACACAACACAGACAGACACUUCUUUCACUUAAUGUCUCCCCAGAAACUUCCUAGAAGAACACCACUGUCUUAGAUGAUACAGAAAAAACAGAUUGCCAUUCUGAUCGGUUUGGUUGGCAGGAGUGAAGGCAGGUAGAAAUACACCAAAUCUGCAAAAACAGUCUUCCAACUGUGACACAUAUUAAUUUAUUCCAUAAAGUGAACUUACAAUGGUUUAUAAAACCGAAUAUAAUUAGGUGAUUUGUCCCCCCAUGGUGGACCCCUUUCCAUCACAUUGUGAACUAGAUUUAAGUCCAUUUAAAGUCUGACUCAUAAAGUGGCUGGUUAUUCAAAAUGUCAAACAUAUGGAACACAUUCAUGAACAUUGUUCCAAACAGUAUUUACAGUGUGGAGAGAAUAUUUAUCAUCAAGAGAGAAGCAUUGCAAAGACUCUCGUCAUAAUUUUGAAGAAAGCAUAAAUAAUAUCAGAAAGCAUAAAUAAUACCAUUAUCAUCAUCAUCAUUAAAGACUGACAUGGUGCAUCCUGAGACGAGAGGGUACAGUCAGGAAUGGCCACGGCAUGGAGAACAUGAGGGGCUGUCCGGAGGAGAGGGUCCCUGAGUUGAACUGGAAGAGAAGGAGUGAAAGAAGAUGUGGGGGUUGGCAGAGGCGGGUGUGGCUGCUGUUCGAUGGAGGUGUGUGGAAAAAAAAAUGGUCCUAAACAAAGUCAGAAGGGGACCAGGAAACAAGGUCCCAAAAGAGUCAGGCCAAGCUAUAGGACAGGGGAUGCUGUAUGAUAAGGCUGAUGGCUAAGAGCAAGUGUAGCCUUAGGAAUGAAGUCAAUGUCCGAGGAGUCCAUCUUGAGUGGGAAGAAUGCCCCAGGGUGCCUCCGGCCAUUCUCUGUGUCCUUCUUCCUCCCAAAUGACAUUGCUUCUCAGUAUCAGCUCGUGGUCUCUCACAUAGUUAGGGAGAACUUGGCAGGCUCUAUUUGCCUCGGACGGUCGAACCUGCAGCACCCUCUGCCCCAGAGACACCUGGGAAAUAACGUUGGUGAUGCAUGGCUGUGACAGCCUUGAUACAGCUCCUGCUAGACAAAGAUCCAUGUAUCAACCACUGGUAAAUAGCGCCUUUUGUUGUGUCCAAAAGGUCAAGGACUGAAUGGGUCACAGGACAGGCACAUUUUCCCGAUGGAGCUGAGGGAGUUUGGGAAGUCUGCGCACAAUGGGGAACUCAACACACCCUGUUUUUCACUCCCUUUCAGAACGCAGCAGCGACAAGCAACACUUUAUUCCAUGUUCUUACUUCCUAAAAAGUAUUUAACUGGAGGAGUAGCUCAGUGGCUUCUUUCUGUUUUGCACUGUGUAGCAACCCCAAUGAUAAAAGGACAGAGCAGAAUAGAAGUUGUUUGUUCAGAAGGCAGUUGGAGUUGCACUGUUUUGUGGUUGCAGAAUGUGUAUCAUGGGGGCAGAGGAAGACCAAAAGGCAAAACAAAAAUCAAGAGCCUGCGACUUGUUUUGCAUGCUGCAAUGACGACAGGGCAGGUUAAUGUCGCACUGUGUUGAUGGGCAGGUGCUGAUGUGAUCUCCAUUUUGAAACUGCACUGUUCUCAGUGUCUUGAGAAGCAGGAAUGGAGGUGACUCCUUUGAGCUCCCUGCUUUAAAUGCAGACAAUGCCACUGGAAAAUAUAUUUGUGAGGAUAGGACACUUAAAACAACAAUAACAACAACAACAUCCACCAGGUGGUUAUUUACAAUUGUCAGUUCUGGUUAGGAAGAUGGAGUUUCAGUGUAGGAAGCGGGGAGUCUGUGUUCAGAUGGCUUGGAAGGGACACUGAUGAUGGAAAAGAUAACUUUCAUUUAUAGCUAAACAGGUAGGGCACAUAUGGAGGGCAUAAGCCAGACUUUGUGCCCCGUGAGAAUGACAUGCAAAUAGUUGAACAAGGGAUGGGGAAUGUUCUUAGAGAUGCUGGCAUGCAGGAGGCAGGCGACGACCUCCUUAAGGUAGUUCCCAGUUCCAAGUUAUUUGAACUGCGUUUAGCACUUUGAAUGUUGACUCUUUGGUUAUCUGAGCAAUCUGCUUCAGGAUUAAAGGCAUUCAAAAGCCCUCUCCUCGCUAAUCCCUUUGAAAUGAUCUUGCCCCGGAUUCUACCUCUCGGAUUCUACCUCUCGUUCUUCUUCAGGUCAGAACAAGACAGGUGUGUACUUCCUAUGUGCUCACGGAUGGCAUCUUCCUGGUGAAAGAACUCAGUUUGUGCCUGAGGAGCGGCUAACCCUUCACGGAGGGCCACGGCAAAGGGCAGUUACGUAAGACACAUUUACAUUUCACACAGAUAUCUGCAACUUGGUGGACGCUGGCCAGCAGCAGACGGGGAUCACGCAGAAUUUUGAUAAAAUACCUCCAGUGUGAUUUUAACUUCUAGAUGGUAGGAACCUCAUUCUUUUGUUUUAUUUAGUUGCCACUAUUACACACACACAAAGGAGCACAAUCAGAAGCAAGACGUUCAAGGCAGGAAGGAAGGCCAGCUUUGCUGGAGCGAGCACGUUCUUCUGAAGCCAGGUUUGGGAUCGCCUUUGAAGCCUUGCUCCUUGGGCCUGAGCCCACCCUUGGCCUUGGCGGCGACGGCAGCUACUGUUACAGGGUGUUCUUUGUGCACAGGGAAAGCUCUGCUGGGCCUGGCAGGACGAAGGGACAUGAGAAGACAUCGGGCCCUUGCCCGGGGUUGGGGUGUGUGUGGGGUGGGGGGAGCUCACCAGCUGGGUGAGGAACUCUCCUAGGGCUGCUCUUCGUACAGGACAGAUGAACCAGCCCCCGUGGGAACACACGCCACUCGUGAACCCCGACCUCACUGUCUUCUGGUUGGUGUCCUUUUGCCGUCCACUGGAUGUGUGCUCUGAGAGAACUCUGCCCCGCUUGUUUUCGCUGGGUGCCCAAGGGAAAAGCCAUGAGGAUGUGUGGAUGGCUACCUGGCUGAGAGAGAGUUCGAUUCAGAUUUGGGUUUGUCUGCUUUGCAUGCUGUUUUUGGAAAUACUCUGUAAUGGUGAAUGGAAAGAGUCUCGUGAACAGUCACAGCCCCCGUUACCCGGAAAUAAAAGCCUUCUUUAGGUCAGGACAAACGUACAGGACCCAAAUAGAGGCUUGCUCCAGGUCUUUCACCAACACACCAAAGGCACGAACUCUGUCAGCUCUUUCUGGCACGACUAAGGUAAUGAACAGCCCCACCCUAGGGAAGGAGCUCCCUUCACCUUCGGUAACUCUGACACGUCACGGCCUGAGGCUGCAGCAGUGUGGCCCUCAGGAGGGGACAAGAUGGCCUGGCUGGGAGCAGUGUCACCGGAGAAGAUGACAAAGGCAUCGCCUGCCCACCUCCCCCUUUGGGCCUGCAAUGGCCAGUCAGGCGAUGCCUCACACUCUGUGAGGGUCAGGAGAAGAAGGUGGGGGGCGCAGGGGUGGCGAGAAGGCUCACUGGCCACCAAUCCCCCGAUGACCUGAGUUCAGUUCCUGGGAUCCGCAGGAUGCAAAGAGAGAACUGACUUCCACAAGCUGUCCUCUGACCUCCACGGCACACAUUUACCUUCACACGUCAAAAAACUAAAAUUGAAAAUAAAAAUAAACAUAAUAAAAAUGCUAAAAGGAAACAAGAACAAAAUUCUGGAUGAGGGCAGGUGGCGAUGAUACCUAGACUCUUGUUCCCCAAUCUCUCCUUGCCCAACUUGCUAACUUGUAGAAAUUUCUGGAUUUAUAUAACUCAAGCCUAAUAAUGAAGGAGAUUGGUGUUGCCUUCCAAGCACUGGGUAGCCCUUUAAGUAACUGAAGAAAUCAGAAGUAUACCAGGGAUAGAGAGAGGAGUAAGCACGCAGAUCCAAGCUGGCCUUCGCCCUGGGCAGCACCAGUCACAGAGGCAGACUGGCUCUCGCACAGCAGAGGCUGAAAGGCAGCUGCAAAGUGAGCUUUGAAAUACAGAGUGCUUGAACGUGUCCCCAGGCCAAAUCCAGAUCGAAGCUUUCCCCAGGGAGGGCGUGUUCAUCAACAUGAAGCAAACUGCCAGAGUGCCCUCGAACACCGAGGCCCCGAGUGGCAUACUCGGUGUCCAGCAAGGACUCCCAUCCGCUGUGGCUGGGUGAGCUUGCUGAAGUGACGCGAAGCAGAAUUUAAAAUGCACCAGCAGAACAAAUGCAACUGAUUCUGGAUCAGAAAAGGCAUUCAUCCGGUUCUCAACCAACUCAAAAGUCCCUGUGACCUGUCUGGAUGUGGUGGCAUGCACCUGUAAUUCCAGUGCUCAAGAAAUAGAGGGGGAGACAGCAGGAUUAUGAGUUCAAGGCCAGUCUAGGCAAUAGUGAAAUCCAAUAAAAGAAAAAGACAAAGACUUGUGAUUUCACUUCUUUGUUUGUUUGUUUCUUGUGGCACCAGCCACAGUUAAAGGAGCUGCCCUCCUCCUUUAGUGGCUUGAGGUGACGUCAUCAGGAGAUGAAGAGCGCCCAGGGCCCAGGUGCAGGCCUCUGCAGGAGAAUGCACAGCACCCUUCAGCACUAUGGAAAAACUAGCCAACAGAGAUGAAGCAUCCUGGCACUUGGAAGGAACUGAUCUUUACCCCUUUAAUCAUGGCUAUGUGUCAUCCCUUUGGGAACUCUCAUUGUUUCUGUGCCAGAGGCCACACCCAGGCACUGCUUCUUCCACAGACUUUGCAUCCCGUUGGAGACUGUACCCUGAAGGAUGACUCUGCAAUGGAUAUUUCCAAAGUCUUGGUUUGGGGUGUAUGAAUCAAAGCUGGGAUAGUUUUGCAACCAAAAACUUUUAAUAACCAAAGCAGCUGGCAUGCUGCAGAUGCCCAAGGGCUUAAAUCCUUCAAUCUUCUCAGAUCUUGUUGACAUUAAUGAAAUUCACAAGGUCUCUUUCCUCUGAAGAUAAAAGCUUUGAAGCAAACCCUGGGUGCCCAGCUGGGGGUCCCACUCUCUGCCUGUCCCUGACACUGAAGCUGGGUGUCCCACUCUCUGCCUCUCCCUGACUCCAAAGCUGGGGACAAAAGCGGGAGGCUGCUGAGUGUGUGCUGAGUAGUCGCCGGUCACUUGUGGAACUGAAACCACCAUGGGUCUUGGCCAACAGCCAGUUCAAUACCUAAAUCUUCCUCCCCUAGACAACAGAUGUUUCUAAACAACUGUCAUUAAGCACAGGCUUAAUUCUUGAAGUUCUGGUGUAUGGGAGAGGGCACUAGGCCCAAGCAACACAGUCUAGGAAAAUGCCUCCGUAAUUGGGGACAUGGGGAGAAUCUGAGAGGAGUUCUGGAGAAGGGGAAAACAUGAUCAGAAUAUACUGUAUGAAAAAAAUUUUUUUCAAUUAAAAAUAAAAUUAUCAGUAACUUUGCAGCUGUUUACUCCAGAGAAGGCUGCUUUUCUUCAACCUUACUCACUGCCUGUGUUUAAAAAGGGAUGGGCCUUUUGUCUUUUCAUCCUAAUACUGCUCUUUACAUUUCAGCAGGAUUUUGGAGAAGCACUGUGAAAUGACCAUUAUUCAACAGACAGCUCCUAUGAUCACA